CUCUCUCACCUGUCUCUCUCUCUUUGACCUGUCUCUCUCUCAGGGCUGUCCUGGUAUGUGCCUGGGGAGAAAAAGGAGCAGAUGCUUUGGGUCCAGACGGUUUGGUUGUUCAUUCAGAUGCUUUUCCUCCUGAAACUCUCGUCGAUACUCUCGGAGCCGGAGACACUUUCAACUCCGCCGUCAUCUACACGCUGUCAAAUGGUGGAAGUUUGCAGGACGCUCUGACCUUCGGUUGCAGAGUCGCUGGCAAGAAGUGUGGUUUCCAUGGCUACGACGGCAUCGCCGGACAGUUCACGGCCGUCUGACCGAAGAGUUAAAAACAACGAUGGAUUCAGAGAACUGUGGUUACAGUCUGAGGUUACUCACUGUCAAAAAUGAUAAGUUAAUGAUGAACUGACAUAAAACAAUAAAACAAAGACCUGAUUUAAAUAAAUUUCACUUUGAAAAGUGAAGCUUCAUAAAAAGCUUUGACCAGUUUGUGUCGAUAAUAACUGAUGUAUGACUGAUAAGCUGAUAAAGUGAUAAUCAGUGGUACAUAACUGAUAGUUUACGGUUUGAUUAUUGAUUGAACUGUUGUUACCUGAAAUUAACUAUUAACAAGCUGCUAACAAAAUUAUUGCUAAGUGUUGAUGAACUUUGUGAUGCUGUGAGAUUAAAUAAGGAUGAUCUUGUUA